rnacentral:rRNA from 1 species
GAUGAACGCUGGCGGCGUGCCUAAUACAUGCAAGUCGAGCGAACGGACGAGAAGCUUGCUUUUCUGAUGUUAGCGGCGCACGGGUGAGUAACACGUGGAUAACCUACCUAUAAGACUGGGAUAACUUCGGGAAACCGGAGCUAAUACCGGAUAAUAUUUUGAACCGCAUGGUUCAAAAGUGAAAGACGGUCUUGCUGUCACUUAUAGAUGGAUCCGCGCUGCAUUAGCUAGUUGGUAAGGUAACGGCUUACCAAGGCAACGAUGCAUAGCCGACCUGAGAGGGUGAUCGGCCACACUGGAACUGAGACACGGUCCAGACUCCUACGGGAGGCAGCAGUAGGGAAUCUUCCGCAAUGGGCGAAAGCCUGACGGAGCAACGCCGCGUGAGUGAUGAAGGUCUUCGGAUCGUAAAACUCUGUUAUUAGGGAAGAACAUAUGUGUAAGUAACUGUGCACAUCUUGACGGUACCUAAUCAGAAAGCCACGGCUAACUACGUG